rnacentral:rRNA from 1 species
GACGAACGCUGGCGGCGUGCUUAACACAUGCAAGUCGAACGGAAAGGCCCUGCUUUUGUGGGGUGCUCGAGUGGCGAACGGGUGAGUAACACGUGAGUAACCUGCCCUUGACUUUGGGAUAACUUCAGGAACCUGGGGCUAAUACCGGAUAGGAGCUCCUGCUGCAUGGUGGGGGUUGGAAAGAUUCGGCGGUUGGGGAUGGACUCGCGGCUUAUCAGCUUGUUGGUGGGGUAGUGGCUUACCAAGGCUUUGACGGGUAGCCGGCCUGAGAGGGUGACCGGCCACAUUGGGACUGAGAUACGGCCCAGACUCCUACGGGAGGCAGCAGUGGGGAAUAUUGCACAAUGGGCGGAAGCCUGAUGCAGCAACGCCGCGUGCGGGAUGACGGCCUUCGGGUUGUAAACCGCUUUCGCCUGUGACGAAGCGUGAGUGACGGUAAUGGGUAAAGAAGCACCGGCUAACUACGUG